GACGAACGCUGGCGGCGUGCUUAACACAUGCAAGUCGAACGAUGAAGCCGGAGCUUGCUCUGGUGAAUUAGUGGCGAACGGGUGAGUAACACGUGAGUAACCUGCCCUUGACUCUGGGAUAACUGCUAGAAAUGGUAGCUAAUACCGGAUACGACCCUCGGAGGCAUCUCCAGGGGGUGGAAAGAAUUUCGGUCAAGGAUGGACUCGCGGCCUAUCAGCUAGUUGGUGAGGUAACGGCUCACCAAGGCGGCGACGGGUAGCCGGACUGAGAGGGUGACCGGCCACACUGGGACUGAGACACGGCACAGACUCAUACGGGAGGCAGCAGUGGGGAAUAUUGCACAAUGGGCGCAAGCCUGUUGCAGCAACGCCGCGUGAGGGAUGACGGCCUUCGGGUUGUAAACCUCUUUUAGUAGGGAAGAAGCGAAAGUGACGGUACCUGCAGAAAAAGCACCGGCUAACUACGUGCCAGCCGCCGCCGUAA
rnacentral:rRNA from 1 species